AAGUCGUAACAAGGUUUCCGUAGGUGAACCUGCGGAAGGAUCAUUACCUAGAGUUGUAGGCUUUGCCUGCUAUCUCUUACCCAUGUCUUUUGAGUACCUUCGUUUCCUCGGCGGGUUCGCCCGCCCGCAUUGGACAAUUUGAAACCAAUUUUGACCAGUUUGCAAUCAGCGUCUGAAAACAAUAAUAGUUACAA
rnacentral:misc_RNA from 1 species